rnacentral:rRNA from 1 species
GAAAUGCGAUACGUAGUGUGAAUUGCAGAAUUCCGUGAAUCAUCAAAUCUUUGAACGCAAAUUGCGCCCAAGGCUUCGGCUGAGGGCAUGUUUGCCUCAGCGUCGGGUUAAUCUCACUCCCCUCCUCCCAUAGUGGAAGCGGGUAAGUGGACCUGGCUGUUCCAGAGCUUGAGUGCUUCAUUGCGCUUGGCAAUAGCUCUGGAUCAGCUGAAGAGUAGAGGCUAGCUCAAGGACCCGUCAAGGGCCGCAACUGGGUAGGCAGCUCACGCUUGCUAUUUCUAGUUGUUGGCUUGGGACCAUGAGCUCGGCCCUCAAACAGGAACCUCUUUUUUUUCUCGACCUGAGCUCAAGCAAGACCACCCGCUGAACUUAAGCAUAUCAAUAAGCGGAGGAAAAGAAACUAACAAGGAUUCCCUU